rnacentral:rRNA from 1 species
UUCUGGUUGAUCCUGCCAGACCUGACUGCUAUCGGAUUGAUACUAAGCCAUGCGAGUCAUUGUAGCAAUACAAGGCAUACGGCUCAGUAACGCGUAGUCAACCUAACCUAUGGACGGGAAUAACCUCGGGAAACUGAGAAUAAUGCCCGAUAGAACAUUAUACCUGGAAUGGUUUAUGUUCCAAAUGAUUUAUCGCCGUAGGAUGGGACUGCGGCCUAUCAGUUUGUUGGUGAGGUAAUGGCCCACCAAGACUAUUACAGGUACGGGCUCUGAGAGGAGUAGCCCGGAGAUGGGUACUGAGACACGGACCCAGGCCCUAUGGGGCGCAGCAGGCGAGAAAACUUUGCAAUGUGCGAAAGCACGACAAGGUUAAUCCGAGUGAUUUCUGCUAAAGAAAUCUUUUGUUAGUCCUAGAAACACUAACGAAUAAGGGGUGGGCAAGUUCUGGUGUCAGCCGCCGCGGUAAAACCAGCACCUCAAGUGGUCAGGAUGAUUAUUGGGCCUAAAGCAUCCGUAGCCGGCUCUGUAAGUUUUCGGUUAAAUCUGUACGCUUAACGUACAGGCCGCCGGGAAUACUGCAAAGCUAGGGAGUGGGAGAAGUAGACGGUACUCGGUAGGAAGUGGUAAAAUGCUUUGAUCUAUCGAUGACCACCUGUGGCGAAGGCGGUCUACUAGAACACGUCCGACGGUGAGGGAUGAAAGCUGGGGGAGCAAACCGGAUUAGAUACCCGGGUAGUCCCAGCUGUAAACUAUGCAAACUCAGUGAUGCAUUGGCUUGUGGCCAAUGCAGUGCUGCAGGGAAGCCGUUAAGUUUGCCGCCUGGGAAGUACGUACGCAAGUAUGAAACUUAAAGGAAUUGGCGGGGGAGCACCACAAGGGGUGAAGCCUGCGGUUCAAUUGG